UUAGGCUGAUCAAAUAUGCAAUGUUAUACUUCUUAGCUCUCUGUCACACUUGGAAUAAUGCUGGCCUAUCUGCUGGGACUUUUUGUUGAAUGGAGGAUACUUGCAGUUUUAGUAACACUUCCUUUGUAGUUUCUUGA